rnacentral:lncRNA from 1 species
AUGUGCUUACCAAAAGCAGCCUACAAUUUUUCAAAAUAAGAAGUGUGUUUUGCUGGUAGAAACCAGCAAUGAAAACCUCCCUCAGUACUACAAAACGUUGGUCUAGGCUUCAAGACGCCCAAAGAGGCCAUCGAGGGCACCUCCCUAGACAAGAAAUGCCCUUUCACUGGUAAUGUCUCCAUCUGAGGUCGGAUUCUGUCUGGUGUUAUGACAAAGAUGAAGAUGCAGAGGACCAUUGUCAUCUGCCGGGACUAUCUCCAUUACAUUUGAAAAUACAAUUAUUUUGAGAAGUGUCACAAGGACAUGUCUGUGCACCUGUCUCCGUUUCAUGGAUGUACAGAUUGGAGACAUUGUCACUGUUAGAGAGUGCAGGCCCCUGAGCAAGAAUGUUCAAGUCAAUAUGCUCAAGGUCACCAAGGCUGCUGGCACCAAGAAGCAGUUUCAGAAGUUCUAA